GUCAUUACGUUCUCAGUCAGAAAUAUCUUCAAAAUAUCUGCGGCUGUUUAUCUCCAGCAAGAUGGACAUCGAUAAAUAUGACUUCUGGGCGAUUUUGUAAACGUAGUGAAAUUGAAUUGUGCAUCAGAAAAGAUUCGAAAUACUUGAAACACGUGAAAACAGAAACCCAAAAUGGAUGUUUCUCUUCUUGCAGGAAAAUACACUAUGAGACGAAAGAGAACCGAUAUGACUGGCCAGUAGAUAAGGAAUCAAUGGAAUUGAAAUUUUUGAACCACACAGAGUUUUCAACUGUAGAUGAAAUGAGG